CACUCCUGCGGGAGGCAGCAGUGGGGAAUUUUGGACAAUGGGCGAAAGCCUGAUCCAGCAAUGCCGCGUGUGUGAAGAAGGCCUUCGGGUUGUAAAGCACUUUUGUCCGGAAAGAAAUCCUUGGCUCUAAUACAGUCGGGGGAUGACGGUACCGGAAGAAUAAGCACCGGCUAACUACGUGCCAGCAGCCGCGGUAAUACGUAGGGUGCGAGCGUUAAUCGGAAUUACUGGGCGUAAAGCGUGCGCAGGCGGUUUGCUAAGACCGAUGUGAAAUCCCCGGGCUCAACCUGGGAACUGCAUUGGUGACUGGCAGGCUAGAGUAUGGCAGAGGGGGGUAGAAUUCCACGUGUAGCAGUGAAAUGCGUAGAGAUGUGGAGGAAUACCGAUGGCGAAGGCAGCCCCCUGGGCCAAUACUGACGCUCAUGCACGAAAGCGUGGGGAGCAAACAGGAUUAGAAACCCUGGUAGUCCCAUGA
rnacentral:rRNA from 1 species